rnacentral:lncRNA from 1 species
CCAUUAACCAACAGGAAAAUAUAAAAAGAUAUUUCAAUAUUGAUGACAAUGUAAUUCUGAAUAUAUUUACAGUAUUACAUAUCUAUGUAGCAUAAUGAAAUACUUUAAAACUACAAAUGUUGGAUAUACCUUACAAAGAUGCAUAACUCAUUCUUUUAAAAUCUUUCUGUUUUUCUUGUUGGUUUUCAAGUUAGACUGUUUUGUCCUGAGUAUCUAUAAUAUAUAGUCAGUAGAGCUGUAUAUUCUGUGUGAAUAUCAACGGAUGGUUUUUCCUACCUUUCCUGUGUGAUCUCUAGAUUUC